UUUUUUUUGCUACGAUAAGAACUACAUCCGCUUUACCAGACUUGCUCUACACGUCAAGUGUAGGCUGCAGUUAUGACAGUCGGAUCACAUUCCAUUGUUGUGUGCUGUCGGAAGGGGCUUUCCCUUUGGAAAAUCUUCGCUGUAGCGGUGGAUGCAGCUGCAAGGACGACUCCUGUAAAUACAACAGGUGUAGAAAUGCAACACGCGGAUCAAGGGGAGGCAUGCAAGAGAACCAGUUUAAAAACACAGACAGGGAUGAAACAGAAAAAUGGGAGUCCUUCAUCUUUAACAGGGGAUUUUCUAGCAUGGCGCAUGCCGGCGUGUGUGUGGAUGAGGAGGAUAUUGGCUUCGGCAUACACGAGUGCUCUCCGUUUACAUGCUCUCUGGCUGGCUUCCAGCCCCCCUCCCCCUGCACCCCCAACCUGAGAUUCCCGGAGCAACAUGGCGAGCAAUAUUGGAGCCAUCCAGCUGUAGAGUUUUAAGCCAGAUUCCAUCUCAGACGAGGGAAACUAAGACGUAAAUGGAUCUAGUCGUCUACAAGUGGAUGCAUCCGAAUGGAGCGGAGGAGGCAGCUCCACAUUCUUCCACCUGCCGCUGAUUCAUAUUGGUUUGAUUAAAAAAAUACUCAGAAAUGCAAUUUUGAGCUUGACUUUAUUAAUGUCCUCCAUCAUUAAAAAAAUGUCAAAGAUGGUCAAAGGUGUUAAAAACACCAGAAACGCAAUUUUCACAAAUUGAACUUUAGUGAAAUAAUAAGGGAAUUGAUGGGUUAAUCAAUCGGUUCAGAGAGUAAAACGACGUGCUAAAAAGACAGAAGCUCUGGAACAAGUGUCUACAUUUGUUUCAAAACAGCCACAGACUGCAAGUCCAAUUAUAAGAAGGGUCCUUCUUCCCAAUUCCAAAACUCUCGUCCCAGCAUGGUUUACUCCCAAUCCACUCUGCUCCCCCACCAUCUGUUUUAUUCUGUCUUUGCCAUCUUUCCUCGCUGCUCCUUAGUGAAUAUCACUACUUCCAAGCUUUACACCCGUUCUCCUCACCACUCUCCCUUCACCAUACGUUCUCCAUGUCCUCCAUUGUCUCAGUUUAAAUCUUCUUUUAUCUGCUCCCCCCACCCCCCUCUCAUGCACUUCUUCCAUGUGUCUCUUCUUGUGAGUGGCGGGGUCUGCAGGGUGCUUGUUAUCCAGCACCUAUCCAGAAACCGGGAAGCCAGACAGCAUGACAGGCAGCCGUGCAGACAGACAUGCAAAAAGAGAGCAGAAUGACAGCCGGGCAGCUUUUGGAGCAAGACUGACAGAUGGGGGGGGGGUACCAGAGAGCAGGCGUCUGAGGUGGAGGCUCUAUGAGACAGAAUAAAACAGUCUGGAUAAAAGGUAAAUAAAAAAGGAAUGAAUUAGGGCUCUAAACCAGACAAAAAUGAUAGAUAAUGGCAAGGAACUAGAGAACACACAAGUAGAU
rnacentral:lncRNA from 1 species